rnacentral:snoRNA from 1 species
GAGAUCGUACUUCUAGGGACCAAUCCUAUAGUACGUAUCACCGGGAUGUCAAGCAAACUUUUGAGUAAGAAUUAAAU